rnacentral:lncRNA from 1 species
AAAGUCUCAGGUUUAAAUUACUAUUUACCAUUUUAAUUUUUAUUAAAUUGGUGGAUUCUGCAUCUGAGACUCUUCAAUUUGUUAAAUAUUUUUAAAUUUAUAAUCUUCUUGGGCACGUAAAUAGCAAUAAUUUUUUUCGUUGAUAUCUGUAGAGAAGUAAUUGUUUUCCCCACAACUUUUUGAAAAUUGUAUUCGCCGGUACAUUAACAAAGUUUUUUUUGUGGUCACUUAUUGAAAAAUGAUUUAAUUCCUUCGCUGUAAAUCUUCCAGGAAUUAUUUUUUUUUCGCGAAAACAGAAAGGGGAAUAAUUGUUUUCGUUGGCAUCUAUUAAGAACUAAAUCUUUUCCACAUAAAUAUUUUGGGAGUUAUAAUCUUCGCGGACACGCAUAUAAAAAAAAUUGUAUCGCCAACACUUAUCAAAGAGUUAUUAUUUUCACUGAAAAUGUAUUAGGAAUCACAUUAAUUUAGCUGUAUUUUAUUGUCCUGUAACAGGGCAAUUUCUAAAAUUAUCUUUGCACAAUUCAUAUUGCAAAUACAAAAUCAAAUAUUCAUACAAUAUAGAAUAACGCUAUAAAAUAAUGCUAAAUAAUAUUAUACACGGUAGUCGCGUGACGAGAGAAUAUCUCUCGUGAAGCGCACUGAGUUAACAAACGGGCCAUACUAAGUCAACUGUUCGAGUAACUGUAAACUAUUCGAUUGUAGAGGAAGGAGAAUUAUAAGACUAGAAGGAACUACAGCAUGUGUAAUUUACCAGGGAAAAAGUUGUGUGCAAUAUUCUGAAACCGUGAGAGAAAAUCUCAUAUAGCGACCAAUGCCGGGUUAAAAACAAAUAAACUGUGACAGUAUUUCGAACUUUAUAUUUACUAAUAUUUUAGCUAAAUUAUUGUGAUGUAGAAUAUGUUUUUAGGCUUAAUAAAAUAUUUGGAAACAAUUUACUCCAGAACUUACUGGUAAUUUAGCAUUUUAUUUAUUUUAUUAUACAAUUUUAAACUAAA